rnacentral:rRNA from 1 species
GACGAACGCUGGCGGCGUGCCUAAUACAUGCAAGUUGAGCGCUGAAGGUUGGUACUUGUACCAACUGGAUGAGCAGCGAACGGGUGAGUAACGCGUGGGGAAUCUGCCUUUGAGCGGGGGACAACAUUUGGGAACGAAUGCUAAUACCGCAUAAAAACUUUAAACACAAGUUUUAAGUUUGAAAGAUGCAAUUGCAUCACUCAAAGAUGAUCCCGCGUUGUAUUAGCUAGUUGGUGAGGUAAAGGCUCACCAAGGCGAUGAUACAUAGCCGACCUGGGAGGGUGAUCGGCCACAUUGGGACUGAGACACGGCCCAAACUCCUACGGGAGGCAGCAGUAGGGAAUCUUCGGCAAUGGACGAAAGUCUGACCGAGCAACGCCGCGUGAGUGAAGAAGGGUUUCGGAUCGUAAAACUCUGUUGGUAGAGAAGAACGUUGGUGAGAGUGGAAAGCUCAUCAAGUGACGGUAACUACCCAGAAAGGGACGGCUAACUACGUG